rnacentral:rRNA from 1 species
GAUGAACGCUGGCGGCGUGCCUAAUACAUGCAAGUCGAGCGAACGGACGAGAAGCUUGCUUCUCUGAUGUUAGCGGCGGACGGGUGAGUAACACGUGGAUAACCCACCUAUAAGACUGGGAUAACUUCGGGAAACCGUAUCUAAUACCGGAUAAUCUUUUGAACCGCAUGGUUCAAUAGUGAAAGUCGGUCUUGCUGUCACUAAUAGAUGCAUCCGGGCUGCAUUAGAUAGUUGGUAAGUUAACGGCUUACCAAGGCAACGAUGCAUAACCGACCUGACAGGGUGAUCGGCCACAUUGGAACGGAGACACGGUCCAGACUCCUACGGGAGGCAGCAGUAGGGAAUGUGCCGCAAUGGGCGAAAACCUGACGGAGCAACGCCGCGUGAGUGAUGAAGGUGUUCGGAUCGUAAAGCUCUGUUAUUAGUGAAGAACAUAUGUGUAAGUAGCUGUGCACAUCUUGACGGUACCUAAUCAGGAAGCCACGGCUAACUACGUG